UCCGGACACCGCCCUCUCUUCUGGACGCCCGUGUGAACCUGGGGGCGUGAGCUGGAAAGAGCGAUGAGUUACGUGGGGAGGUUUUCCAGCAGCGCCCUCUAGCGCCACCUUGAGGACAGUCUUCCCGGAAACCCGACUUGGGUGUUGCGCGUCCCGCAGUGACCUUUGGAGAAAGAAAAGGGGAAUCCCCUCCAAGCCCCAGCCUCAGACUCGUGACUAUGCUGUUUGCUCCCUGUCAGUCAGGGAGGCAAACGCAGUGGACUCGAUCUUAGGCCAUGGGCGGAGGUUUGGAGCAGCCAUUCUCAAAGCGUGGUCCCAGGCCCCCUGGGAGUUCCAGGGUCACUUGGCUUUUUUACUCAUGCUGGAAUUUUCCAAGGCCAGCGACAGGGCGGGACUGAAGAAGUGUGUGCUUGCCUGUUGUGUUUCCUAGGAUUUCCUAAAGCAAGCGUCCCCGUGGAAAAUCUGUGCUUCUGGUGGAGAUCCCUUCUAACUACUCAUCUAGACUGAAGCCUUACAGUGUCCUGGGUCUCUGAUGGAGGAAAGGAAGGACAACUCUGGUUGCAGACCGGAAAUGCCCUGCAGCCCUUACCUGCUACUUUCUUGCCCAGGCUCCCUGGUGGCUCUAAGGAAAGGAAGAAUUCUUACACUAGUCUGAGGAAGAAGAGCAAGCAGAAGAGAAAGAAGUUUACGGUGGCUGUCCUGAAAUACUCUAAGGAGGAUGAAAAUGGCAACAAUUGUCUUCUUUGUUGGGAGUGUCCUUUAAAUGCAUGUAGUACUGGAGUUUUGUUGUUUUUGUCUUGUUUUGAGACAGGGUCUUACUAUGCAUGCCAGGCUGGCCUUGAGCUCAGUAUGUAUACCAAGCUGGUCUUCAACUUGCUGCAAUCUUCCUACCUCAGCCUCCCAAGGCCUAGGAUUACAGGCGUGCGCCACUAUGCCUGGUCAAGUGCUGGAG